rnacentral:rRNA from 1 species
CUACGGGAGGCAGCAGUGAGGAAUAUUGGUCAAUGGGCGAGAGCUGAACCAGCCAAGUAGCGUGCAGGAUGACGGCCUAUGGGUUGUAAACUGCUUUUAUAAGGGAAUAUGUACCUUAUGAAUAAGGACCGGCUAAUUCCGUGCCAGCAGCCGCGGUAAUACGGAAGGUCCGGGCGUUAUCCGGAUUUAUUGGGUUUAAAGGGAGCGUAGGCCGGAGAUUAAGCGUGUUGUGAAAUGUAGACGCUCAACGUCUGCACUGCAGCGCGAACUGGUUUCCUUGAGUACGCACAAAGUGGGCGGAAUUCGUGGUGUAGCGGUGAAAUGCUUAGAUAUCACGAAGAACUCCGAUUGCGAAGGCAGCUCACUGGAGCGCAACUGACGCUGAAGCUCGAAAGUGCGGGUAUCGAACAGGAUUAGAUACCCUGGUAGUCCGCACGGUAAACGAUGGAUGCCCGCUUUGGUAGCGGCCAAGCGAAAGCAUUAAGCAUCCCACCUGGGGAGUACGCCGGCAACGGUGAAACUCAAAUGAAUUGACGG